AUUGAACGCUGGCGGCAGGCCUAACACAUGCAAGUCGAGCGAGCGGCGGACGGGUGAGUAAUGCCUGGGAAACUGCCUGAUGGAGGGGGAUAACUACUGGAAACGGUAGCCAAUACCGCAUACCAUCAGAUGUGCCGAGAUGGGAUUAGCUAGUGGGGGGGGUAAUGGCUCACCUAGGCGACGAUCCCUAGCGUGUCUGAGAGGAUGGCCAGCCUCACUGGAACUGGUACACGGUCCAGACUCCUACGGGAGGCAGCAGUGGGGAUUGUGGCACAAUGGGCGCAAGCCUGAUGCAGCCAUGCCGCGUGUGUGAAGAAGGCCUUCGGGUUUUAAGGCACUUUCAGCGGGGAGGCGUUACCCGCAGAAGAAGCACCGGCUAACUCCGUGCCAGCAGCCGCGGUAAUAC
rnacentral:rRNA from 1 species